rnacentral:lncRNA from 1 species
ACAAGCGGACAGUCGGAUUGUGAGGCUCCACCCCUUCUGUGGUGGACACGCCUUCUCUUCCCUGUCUCACCCUGCCCUACCAUGCUCGGCGUGCAGUGGGCACCUUGGUAGUUUGGUGGUGUGUAGCAGAAUUCUUUGUGACAUUUGCUAGUGUUACGAAAGAGAGAGAAGGAGAGAAAGGAAGGAAGCGAGAAAGAAAAGCUGUGUUUUUUUUAAUUUUUAGUUUCCUAUACGUCUUUGUUUUUACGAGUUGUGUGUUACGGGUGUUACGGGAAAGAACGUAACGCCUCUGCUUCCGCGCCACUCUUCUCCUCUUAGGUGGCGGCUCAGUGCCUCUUCGCGUUACCAGAACGUUACAAUCCGAGAUUAAGUCUAUUUUUCUGUGUUACGAACGUUAGAACCUCGAGUCGUCGCACAGGAACUUGCGACUUGUUAUAGCCUUGUAUGUGUUACGUGUUGUGUCGGCCAGUGUUAUCAGCCACGGCCGGCCCUCGUUACCCACGCCUCCGUCGAGAGUGAGACCCCCCCCUCCCCCGCGCCCUUUGCCUCCGCCAUGAGCAUCAGGAGGGUCCGGGGCUCCUUCAGGAGUUCCCAGCGGCGGUAUGGGUCCACGGAGGGCAACAAGAAGAUGCGAAGCUCCUCGUGGAUCUUCAAGAACGACGAGUGGCGCCUUGUUUACGAUGAUGGUGACGAGGUGACACUCAUGUACGCCAAACAUGAGGUAA